GUCGUGCGGUAACAGGCGUAGCAGUACGUGCUGACGAGCGGCGAACGGGUGCGUAAUACAUGGGAAUCUGCCUUUUAGUGGGGAAUAACCCGGCGAAAGCCGGGCUAAUGCCGCAUAAGAUCUUCGGAUGAAAGCGGGGGAUCGUAAGACCUCGCGCUGAUAGAUGAGCCCAUGCCGGAUUAGCUAGUUGGUGAGGUAACGGCUCACCAAGGCGACGAUCCGUAGCUGGUCUGAGAGGACGGCCAGCCACACUGGGACUGAGACACGGCCCAAACUCCUACGGGAGGCAGCAGUGGGGAAUAUUGGACAAUGGGGGAAACCCUGAUCCAGCGACGCCGCGUGUGUGAAGAAGGCCUGCGGGUUGUAAAGCACUUUCGAUGGGAACGAAAUAUGCCGGGCUAAUAUCCCGGUAGGCUGACGUUACUCAAUGAAGAAGCACCGGCUAACUCUGUGCCAGCAGCCGCGGUAAUACAGAGGGUGCGAGCGUUAAUCGGAAUUACUGGGCGUAAAGCGCACGUAGGUGGCGACGUAAGUCGGGUGUGAAAGCCCCGGGCUCAACCUGGGAACUGCAUUCGAGACUGUGUUGCUGGAGUACGGAAGAGGAGGGCGGAAUUCCCGGUGUAGCGGUGAAAUGCGUAGAUAUCGGGAGGAACAUCAGUGGCGAAGGCGGCCCUCUGGUCCAGUACUGACACUCAAGUGCGAAAGCGUGCGGAGCAGACAGGAUUAGAUACCCUGGUAGUCCACGCCCU
rnacentral:rRNA from 1 species